GAUGAAGAACGUAGUGAAAUGCGAUACUUGGUGUGAAUUGCAGAAUCCCGUGAACCAUCGAGUCUUUGAACGCAAGUUGCGCCCGAAGCCAUUAGGCCGAGGGUACGCCUGCCUGGGCGUCACACGUCGUUGCCCCCCCAUCUACUCCUUCGGGAUUGCGGGGGGCGGAUGAUGGCCUCCCGUGCGCCUCGUCGCGCGGUUGGCCUAAAUGCCAAGUCCUCGGCGACGCACGCCACGACAAUCGGUGGUUGCGAAACCUCGGUUGCCCGUCGUGUGCGGUCGUCGCGCAUCGAGGGCUCGAAAAAAUUGCCGGGCUUCGGCUCGACUUUCAACGCGACCCCAGGUCAGGCGGGGUUACCCGCUGAAUUUAAGCAUAUCAAUAAGCGGAGGA
rnacentral:misc_RNA from 1 species